rnacentral:tRNA from 1 species
GGCCCCAUCGUCUAGCCUGGUCAGGACACCAGGUUCUCAUCCUGGGAACGCGGGUUCAAAUCCCGCUGGGGUCA